UGCUCCCUUCCUGACACCAAAUGAACUUCCUCCCAUAAACAUUUGAGCACCACCCUCUUCAGCUUCUCCUCUUGAAAGUCUGACAACCCUGAUCUGAAACAAUCACUGGAUUUAUCCUGCAAACUCCCUGCAACAAUAGCCCCGAGGGAAUACCUUCUCCAGCACUGCAGUGGUUCAAGAAUAUGGCUGACUACAACCUUCUUAAAGGCAACAGGCAAUAAAUACUAUGCUUGCCAGCAAUGAGUUCUGAAUUUGGCCCCUUACUCUCUGUUCCACUGUCUUUUGGAGAUGUGUUACUUGCAGGCUCGGACGGUUAAGUGGUCACAAACACUUUAGGAACCACAAAAGCAUGCAGCUAGAGGGAGUCGCCUCUGAAUGAGCUAACAGGGAGCCAUGAAACAAAGAAACCCAAUGGAGCCCAUUUAGACAAAAGAAGAUUGUUGAACACCCAAUGUGCAGAGGCAGGCAAAUCAAGCUGUGCAAACAAUAAAAGUAAGCAAACAGCAUUCAGAACUGAAGUUCGCGGAAGUGAGUCCACAGCCAAUUCAGAAGGCCGUUAGUUGCAGGCCUCAGCCUCAGUUCGGUGCAGAGACGAGUAAGGAGUGGAGCAGCGAGCUGAAGUCCAGAGCAGAGACAGAUCUCAUGACCUGAUUGGCAAUGCUGCUGGAGCAAGAUGUGCUGCUUCAACAGAGGAAGAAAUAAAAUUGGCUGAGAAGCAGGAAAGCAACAUAGUGCUGUGUUUUGUGAAAUACGGCAGCAACUCUAGAUCAUCAAGGCCAACGUCUAAUGUAUGAUUUAAUUAGCCCUACUCCCAUGUUAUUGACCCACUGUUUUGAAAAUUGCUCCUUUUCAAGUACGUAUGUAACUAUAAAGCUAUGAUUGAAUCUUCUUUUGCCAACUCAGCUAAUACAUAUAAAAAUACCACAUUUUCCCCCGGCUCUUUUAAAACCAUGGUGCUGGUCUUUGACCCUUUUGCCAGUGGAAAUAUACGAUAUUUAUUGAA